rnacentral:lncRNA from 1 species
GCUCGUCUCCAAAAAUGCUAAUUGUUCCAUCAGGCCAGAGUUGUUAUUUUUUCUUAUAUGUUCUAAAAUUGUGUGUAUGCAUGUGUGUGUGCUUGUGUGUGUGUGUGUGUGUGUGUGUGUGUGUGUGUGUGUGUGUGUGUGUGUGUGUCUUAUUAGACAAUCAGUUUCACCGCCUUGCCAGUCCACUACCCACAAUUCCAGUGCUGCACUGGGACUUUCCUGAUGAAAGAAUUGUUAAAUAUUCAACGCAGCUCGUUCACAGUCCCUGGAAGAUGCAUCAGCUCCCAUUUAGCACUCGGGUGUUUAGGGAAAUACCACCCGAAACCUGGAAACCUUGAGGGACUAAACACAACUGGCAAAGAUAACGCGUAUAUGAAAUGUGUGAGUACACGUGUUUGUGUGUGUGUGUGUGUGUGUGAAGGGGUAGUGUGUAGCUGUGUGUGCUGGUUUGAUGUCCUUGGUAGGUUGCGCACUAAAUGAGCUAUGGCUGUUAUUACUGUGUGUGUUCACCCGGGCGGCCUGAGCAGAGUUCAACCUGACAUUAGUCACGCCUAAUACUGCCAACCGCUGGAGAGCCUCGCCUAGAGGUCCAAAACUGCUGCUGCGUUCAUAUAUUAGGAUAUCGGUGAUGGUUAAUGAUAAAAAAGUAAUCAUUCUGAUGUAAUAACUUUGUAAAUGUUUCUUAGCUACUGUAGAUUUAAGUAAUCACCGCUUGUAGGGUUUCACAGGGAUGCCAAAGAGAUAAAUAAAUACAUUUGGUUCCAUGAGGAACAUUUUAGAGAGGAAUUCUUUAAAGAACCAAAGUUUUUAGUGCAUAGAUGAUAUACAAUUUAAGUCAAAAUUAUUUAACACCUGUACAUGUUUUCUCAAUUUUUGUUUAACGCAGAACACAUUUCUAAACAUAAUAGUUUUAAGAAUUCAUUUUUAAUAAAUGAUUUCUUUUUACUGGAUGUUUUUAUAAUACUAGUAUUCAACUUAAGUAUAAUUUAAAGGCAUAAUUGUGUUAAUUAGGCAAGUUAGGGUAACUAGGCAAAUCAUUGUAUAAUGAUGGUUUGUUCUGUAGACAAUUGAAAAUAAAUAUUGCUUCUGGAGGCUAAUAAUAUUGACCUUAAAGUGGUUAUAAUAAAUAAAAAACUGCUUUUAUUCUAGCCAAAAUAAAAUAAAUAAGACUU